UACGUAGGGUGCAAGCGUUGUCCGGAAUUAUUGGGCGUAAGGAGCUCGUAGGCGGUCUGUCGCGUCUGCUGUGAAACUCAGGGCUUAACCCUGAGCUUGCAGUGGGUACGGGCAGACUAGAGUGCGGUAGGGGAGACUGGAAUUCCUGGUGUAGCGGUGAAAUGCGCAGAUAUCAGGAGGAACACCGGUGGCGAAGGCGGGUCUCUGGGCCGAGCUGAACGUGACGCUGAGGAACGAAAGCGUGGGUAGCGAACAGG
rnacentral:rRNA from 1 species